rnacentral:rRNA from 1 species
AACGAACGCUGGCGGCAGGCCUAACACAUGCAAGUCGAGCGCCCCGCAAGGGGAGCGGCGGACGGGUGAGUAACGCGUGGGAACGUGCCUCUUGCUACGGAAUAGCCUCGGGAAACUGGGAGUAAUACCGUAUGUGCCCUACGGGGGAAAGAUUUAUCGGCAAGAGAUCGGCCCGCGUUGGAUUAGGUAGUUGGUGGGGUAAUGGCCUACCAAGCCGACGAUCCAUAGCUGGUUUGAGAGGAUGGUCAGCCACACUGGGACUGAGACACGGCCCAGACUCCUACGGGAGGCAGCAGUGGGGAAUCUUAGACAAUGGGCGCAAGCCUGAUCUAGCCAUGCCGCGUGAGCGAUGAAGGCCUUAGGGUUGUAAAGCUCUUUCAGUGGGGAAGAUAAUGACUGUACCCACAGAAGAAGCCCCGGCUAACUCCGUGCCAGCAGCCGCGGUAAUGUA